AGAGUUUGAUCCUGGCUCAGAACGAACGCUGGCGGCAGGCCUAACACAUGCAAGUCGAGCGCGCCUUCGGGUGAGCGGCGGACGGGUUAGUAACGCGUGGGAACGUGCCCUUUUCUACGGAAUAGCCUCUGGAAACGGAGAGUAAUACCGUAUACGCCCUUUGGGGGAAAGAUUUAUCGGAGAAGGAUCGGCCCGCGUUAGAUUAGGUAGUUGGUGGGGUAACGGCCUACCAAGCCUACGAUCUAUAGCUGGUUUUAGAGGAUGAUCAGCAACACUGGGACUGAGACACGGCCCAGACUCCUACGGGAGGCAGCAGUGGGGAAUCUUAGACAAUGGGGGCAACCCUGAUCUAGCCAUGCUGCGUGAGUGAUGAAGGCCUUAGGGUCGUAAAGCUCUUUCGCCUGUGAUGAUAAUGACAGUAGCAGGUAAAGAAACCCCGGCUAACUCCGUGCCAGCAGCCGCGGUAAU
rnacentral:rRNA from 1 species